rnacentral:rRNA from 1 species
AAACUUUCAACAACGGAUCUCUUGGUUCUGGCAUCGAUGAAGAACGCAGCGAAAUGCGAUAAGUAAUGUGAAUUGCAGAAUUCAGUGAAUCAUCGAAUCUUUGAACGCACAUUUGGCCCGCCAGCAUUCUGGCGGGCAUGCCUGUUCGAGCGUCAUUU